GCGGCGGCGAAAGGACCGCAGUGGCCGGGCCGGUGCGGGGCCGGGCGGCCGAGGCUGCCGCUGUGCUGGGGACAUUGCAGCACCGGCGGGGAGCGCGUCCCUGCCGAUCCCGCGGGGUGCUCGGCCCGCUGCCUAUGGAGUGAGGGGAAAGGUGCCUGGGUUUUAAAAUUUAUUUUCCUUUAGGGCGAGACAGAUGUUAGUUGGUGAUUUGUUUUCUUAAUGCUAAGGAUUUGCAUAAUAAAUAUGAGGUCUGUCCCGUGUUUUUUAGCCAGUCAGCAGUGGAGAGGUUUUUAACAGAUGAAAAGCAUUUUAUGAUUAGAAUGGGUUUAAAAAAAAAAAUCUAAUUUUUCUUUUUUUCUGAAACGAGAUCAGGGCUAUAGAGCUCUGCCCUCGUUACAUUGCAUAUUUAAUACAUCAGAACAUCCUGAUAGAUUGGAAGAAAUGCAAUGAGUAUUGUGCUAUUGAACUGUCCACCCUAGAAAGAGGAGAUAAUUAAAUCUUGCCUGGCUAGCUUGUGCGUUUGCAUACAGAGCUGUCUCAUCCAUGUAUAUCCCUUCAGGUUGAGCAUAUGCGUUUUGUUUCCAUACAUAGCUGUGUGGUCCUGCACACUUAUUUACCCAUCUACCUCUACAAUUGCAUUGGAAAUCAUGCAUUCAACUGGUACAUGAACUCAAAGCCCGUACGUGUUAAUUGCCAAUGAAGUACUGCUGGGGCAGGCAAAAGGCUCUCCGUGGAACUUCAGAUGGAGCUCGUGUAGCUGGAGGAGUUGUGCAGGGAGCAGGAAGGAAACAUCUGCAAUAAAACAAGGAUCCAGGCAGCUGGUGGCAAAAGCAUCUCCAGGAGGAGGGUUGUCCAGCUCCUAUCCUGGGCAAACUGUGACUGUUACGCUGCAGUUGCUGCCUGAAUUGGCAGUGAGUGUCUGCUGAGGCAGAUUUUGGGGCUGCUGGUACUUGUGUUUAUUAGUUGCAAGAUGGGCUCCACAGCAGUCCAUGAGUUUGGGUGCUUGGCUUUGGUGGAAGGGCUAGUGGGAAUGAGGCAAGCCCAAGAGUCACUACUCAUUUUGAUGCAAAAAAAUUCUGAGCAGUUUGCUGUUACUAAAGAUUUUCCUUCAUGGGGUAGAGGAAGGGAACAAAUACUCUGAGUUUCCUCUGUCUAUGUAAAAAGAAGGGCUCCUGAGAGCAAACCCAGCAGAAAUCAAGGUACCAAGAUGAGACCGGUCCAAAGCAGGGAUGACCUUAAUGGAAAUACACAAGAAACUUUGGCAUCUCAAUGAAGAAAUGAGAAGGCAAAGGAAGUCUUCUCACGGCAGGGAUCCAGUUGUGUUGGCACUGGAGUAGUUUUUGUAACUUGGGUAGUGUUGGAGUGGCACGAGCAGGCCUGUGGUGCACUGGUCUCAUGGAGCAGUUUUGUGUAGGUGUGCAGUGAGGCACAAUACAGGACAUCUCCCUGGAGGAAAGGUAUGAGCCAGACCAAACUCUUCACAUCUUCAGCUUUAGAGACUAAUCCUGGAUGGAUUUGCAACUGCAUUGCCUGACUACGCACUGGUUUACAUUUUGUUUUCAUUACUAACCAGGCCUCUGCAUUGCGAGUCCUCUGGUAGGAGAUUGUUGCUUGCAGAUGAUGUUUCUACAAAGUCAUCUCUUGCUUUUUAAAUGCUUCCUCCUGCAGCCUUUCUCCCACCUCUCCAGUCUUAGUGCAAAUCUCAGAACAUCUCCAACUCAGUGUUGUGCAGAUACUGAGGAAGAGUGUGUGCUAUAUUAAGCAACAUAAAGUCUGUUUAAGAAAACCUGCCGUCUGGUCCCUGAAUUCAGCUAUCCCUGAUGAAUGCUGUGGACAUUUCUGCACAGGAUUUGCCAUCAGUAGAACUUGGUUGUCUGAAUAUGGCUGGAGCUGGUGCUUUGCAAAGCCUGCAGUCUGCAGUAAAAAAUGGGCUAAAGAACCAUCUCUGGCACUGCUUAGAGCAGCCAUAACUGAUUUCACUGGUUGGACGUACUUACGAGAAUGAGGGGAGAAAGAUAUAUCCUAGUUUUUGUGCAGUGGGAUGUGGGACUAAAGACUUUACUGUUAGGAAUGUAGCAGUAAGAGCAUAAGCCAAGAGGGUUCUGUUGAGGUUUGAGGAGGAGGUGCAGCCUGUGCCAUCUUCCAGCAGACAAAGCUGGCUAGAGCCAAACAUCUAUCUCCUCACCAUGCCUAAAAGAUAAAUAACACUCUGUGGAGCUGCAAAGUUACCAACACAUCUUGGUGAUCUAAAAGUAGCAUUUGGCCUCAUCUAACUUACAGCUUCUCUGACUCUGUUCUGCACAUUCACUGUCUCCAAACCUUUUGCAAAAGUAAGGAGCUUAAAAGUUGUAGCUGUUCCCAAAGCUCAUUAGGCAGUGGGGGAUGCAGGGCGCUGUGGGUGAGAGCUCUGUUUUGCAUCUGCUACCUGAUCCCUGUUCUCUGAAUCUCGCCACUACAGCAGUUCCUGUGGGCUGCAGCAGUAAGCGAUACCACACCAGGCAUCCCGCGAGCUGGGCUUUGCCAAAGCUAACAAUAGUUAAUGUGGAGGUUAAAGAAUACUUGGUCACUUGCCAGAUUCCUCAGUCACAGUUAGAAAGAUGCUUAGCAGAGGAAGGAACGUCAUGCAGUGAUGUUCAGACUCAGAGGCUGGAAAAGAAAUCAGCUGAACAAGAGUCAAGCUGCACAGUGUGGAGUGGAUCCCUGGGCUUCUGGAUGGAGUAGAGAGGGACUGCAGGCUAGCCUUGCUGCAGGGAGAGCUCUCCUCCUCUGAAGGUGCAAUAUGCUUUUCUCUGCUCCUGAAAACACAGAAAUCACUUUCUCCCUCACUGCUAGAAAACACAGAUUACUACUUUUAUCUUGCCUGAGUUGUGGACUGGGGUCUUGAUGUGUCAGUGUUGUACGGGGGGCAGGGCCAGGCUGUCUGUCUGAACCUUCCUUGGGGCCCAGCCAGUUCUUGGUGCUCUCUGCUGUCCCUGGGAGUCAGUGCUGGGCACUGGUGGCUGUGGGGUGGCUGGUGAGGCUGCCUUUGGCAUAGGAGGCAUGCUGUUAGCUAGGAAAUACAGCAGGACUUUUCAUGUCAGGUGUCUGUGGGGAUGGCAAAGCUAAGGCGUGUUAGCUCAGAUGUGGAGAUGCUCUUGUCAGUCCCCUGAGCCAUGGUCCUGCCCAGCUGGAGAGACGUUCUCCCUGCAGAAGGUCUGCCCACAGAACCCCCAUCCUCAUGCAAAGAAGGCUGUGUGGGAGAAGCCAGGGAACCUGUCCUUACAGCUCUCCUCUGCUCAGGGUCCCAAAGCUUUGAGGAGAUGUCUGCAGAGGACAUCUCUGCAGUGUGACUGUCCUAGGCAGAUGCUGCCACAGUAGUGCUACCUGAGUCAUGUUCCCUUCCCAGUCACAAACCUGGGAGCAGGAUUUUGGCUUUGUAGAAAAGCCACAAUGCUGCUGUUCAUAGACACGGGAUGUUCGGGCCUUUAAGUGGAAGGCCUUAAGCAGUAAGAUCCCAUUUACUCAGGGCACAGAGUUCCCCUUCCUGGGACUGGCAAACAGGUCUGAGCUCUUUGCAUUGUGCUGUCUUGUGGAUAUGAGAAUGGGUGGAGUGGUUGGAUCCAUCUUGUCCCACCAGGGGUGCUCUGAAGCCUUCUUGGGCAGCCCCAGCAUUGUGGGCCUGCUUCCUCUGUGCAGCUACCUGCAUGCUAUGCCUGUAAAGGACAGAAUCUUCACCUUGAAGAACUUGUGAUCAAAACCCAACAAGAGCCAGUGAAUGUUAGGAUUGAAGACAGACUUUGUGGACAAGGUGAGAGAGGGUGGCAAGUGAGAACAUGCAGUUCUGGAGUUACUGUGCGCUGUUCCCACCUUUGUGGCUUUCUUCAGCAAUCAAAGGAAAGUUCUUAAAGAUCCAAGACAUAGUUCAUGUCCUGAAGCUGUCUGAGAUGCUCACGUCAAACUGUACCCCAUAAUACACCUUUCUGACAUGUCCUGUGUUUGCUAGAGGCGAGUCUGCAGCACAUACUGUCACAUGUGUUGGAGUAGUGCAGAUUACUUUGGGAAAGUCCGGGUCACGCAAGAAAGACAUCUUAGAUGCUUGUUUGUAACGCAAACAAAAUAGUGACACUGUUACUUUUGUUAUAAAACUGUUUUCUUUUUUUGGGAAUGCUUGCAUCUCUGUCAGGGUGGUCAGAGGCUUCUCUGAGCAGUGCAUUUUCCACAGAGGAGGCAGCUCCAUGUUCUCAGCCUUUCACAGUGAUGUGCUCUGUGAGAUCCAGGGCAUGUCACUGAGGCCAGCAGUUCUCAAACUGGCUGCUUGAAGUUUGACAGAGGGAAGCUUAUUUGGGGAGGUAAAUAAAUGGCCUGAUCUUUUUUUGCUUGCUCCCCUGUGCCCCCGGCUGUGCAUUUCAAUGUAGGUUCCAGCUUUCUGUAUAGCAGGGGAGCACUUUGAUUGCCUGACCUCAUCACCUUAUCCCUGAGGCUGGAGUGGGGUGCUGUGAAAGAUUACUUUGGACUUUGGUGCUAUGCUUCGGACUCAGUCUCCACCCAAAGAGGAGGGGAAUGUCAGGCACUGAGUUAGCACUGCAGUCUUGCUUUUCUUUAAUGCAUUUCAGAAAGGAAGAGAAAUGUCUGUUCCCAAUGCUUUAGAAAUCACAUUAAGCUCAACACAAACAUGACUGUCCUGGGAGGGCUGAAAGAUAAGAACUUGGGUUGCUGUGUGGCUCUUGCAAAAUGAGCUGACCUUGGCUAUUUGCUGCCACCUAGAAGAGCAGGUAGGAGUCCAGUACCUUUAUUAACCAUCAUUUGAUAGCUGCUGAAGUACUGUGGGUGGGCAUCUGCAGCUUCUGAAUGAGAAGCGUGAUCCAAUCCAAUCUGAUGCUGAGGGAAGUAGGUAUGGUACCCCAGGACAUAUCUGUGCUCUAACAGGCCUCUGAUGUGCUCAAGCAGGUAAUUAAGGGGGAAAAGUAAGUGGCCAUGCUCAUAGUCCUCCAUACCAACAAACCCACCAUGCUACUAAACAAAGGUGGGAGGAGGACUCUAAGAAUAGUCUUAGAUCUUAUAAAAAUUGGUGCAGGACUUGGUCAUCAGGCUCUUAUGAAAACAGCCAAAUCCUUCAGCCCUUUUCCACAAGUUACCUGGGAACUGUGGAUGUUGUUUUUGGACUGAAUGAAAUGCAAGAGUAAUUGAAAGUAAUUUUUUUUUAAAUGCAUUCAGUUAUUCUGAUAUACCAUUUAUACCCAGAGUGGCUGGAGGCAUAAUCUGUGGAUACUUUGAGUAAUGACCUGCAUACAGCUGUUUCAUCCCUAGGUCAUACGGGGUCCAGAAAUUUUUAAAAAAUGUGAUUUUUUUUUGGUAAGCUUUUUUUUUUUUGAGGCUUAGCUUACCAGAAGGUUUUCCUUAUUUGCUCUUAUCUUUCCCUCUCUAUCUACUCAGCUAUUCAAAUCUUGUUUGAAUUGCACUCAUUUCUAAUGUGCCAUAAAACUUGAUAUGCAAGAGCUAGUUAUUUAGGGAGAAUUACAGAAACUAUUUUAGUCUGUGUGUUUUGACCUAUAAAUGAGGUAACAUUAUUAAUUUUUACAUGCAAAUCAUGGUGUUUAUUAGCAUGGUAAAAGGCAAUUUGACAAUGAAAAAUAUUCCUGAUGGGUAUAGUAAUUAAUGCUUUCAUUCAAAUUGUAAAGACUUUAAUAAUGCUGUUAUGCUUAAAAUGAUUGAAGAAAAAGUUGACUAUUUUCCUGUCAGUGGUACAAGGAUGCUUCCUUUUAAUACAGCUCCUGUAUCCCUGUGUUCUUUAUAGUCAAUAAGACUACAAAUCAUCGGGCUAAUUCAUUGAGUUUCUUCUCCCAGGUCUCGGGUUUGGAUGAACCUUAUGAUUCGAUACUUAUGUGGGGAUGCACAUUGAAAGCUAUGGCUUUUCUCUUCAGAUUGAAUUAAGCCAUUUAUGGUGUCGUCAUGUUUCAGUGGGGAUCUUGUGGCUGGAGAUGAUGGCUGCUCCGUGGAGCGCCGGAGCGAUCCUGCGGCGCGCCGCGCGGCCGAGGGAGGCUGUGUGUGCAUCAGGAUGUGCACUUGGAGAAGUAAGGCGUUUCUGCUUGCUAUUUUUAAUAGCAUGUGCAAAGCAAGAAAUCAGGGAAGCAUGGAACAGCAUUUCUAAUUUGGAAAGCUGUUUUUUUUUUUCUCCCUUGAGCUGUGCUUCUUCCUUCUGUGUUUCAUCCCCCCACUGGAGGCUGGCUUACGGCUGGCUUUAUCUGCCACCAGCUUUCAAUAGGUAAGGUUAAUUUGCUGAAUGUAGCUACUUGGAUUUUCUUCAUAAAUCCUCCAGAAGUGCUGAAUGUCUUACUGGUAUAACGAGGGAAAGUUGCCUUCCUUCUCAGUCACUGGAAUGUAUUAUUGAUGCAAAAACACUUUCCUAGCAUUUAAUGCGUUUCCAAAAGAGUCUGACAAGCAGGAAGGCCUCUUCAGGUUGGCUGAGGCCCAUCUGGUCACUGAGAGUUGUAUGCAAUGCUUACUCCAAUGCAAAGUGCUAUCAUUGUUUAUUUUUCUCUCCAAGUCCAGGCAGACGAGUUUAUUGGUAGGAUGGGUGUGCUUAAGUGAUGUGAUACUACUAUGCAAGAUAAUGUGGAACUGGAGACCCUGGGGGAUCUUCCAGUUGAUGUUGGUCUCUGACAUGACCCUACUGAGGAGCUUGAACUCUCUGGUUCCAGAUUCUGGACCUCACCUCUUCCUCCUCUCACUGGCACCCUUCUCUUCUCUGUGUUCAUCAUUAUUUGGGGCGUUGAGGAGCAGGAUCCAGAUGUGGUGGUGGUUGUUUGACUGUGAUUUGUUUGGGGUGGAGUGGAAUUACAGGUGUCUGUGCAACUUGAAAGAACAAAUCUGUAUUUGUAUGAAAUUGAACAGAGUGGAAUAAAGUUAUUCUUUGAAGGACA